rnacentral:rRNA from 1 species
AGAGUUUGAUCCUGGCUCAGGAUGAACGCUGGCGGCAGGCUUAAUACAUGCAAGUUGAACGGUAACAUGUUGUAGCAAUACGAUGAUGACGAGUGGCGCACGGGUGCGUAACACGUGUGUAACCUACCUUAUACAGGAACAUAACGUUGAGAAAUCGGCGCUAACAUUCCAUAAUAUUAUUUGUAGGCAUCUAUGAAUAAUUAAAACUCCGGUGGUAUAAGAUGGGCACGCGUUCCAUUAGCUAGUUGGUAAGGUAACGGCUUACCAAGGCAACGAUGGAUAGGGGUUCUGAGAGGAUAAUCCCCCACACUGGAACUGAGACACGGUCCAGACUCCUACGGGAGGCAGCAGUAAGGAAUAUUGGGCAAUGGAGGCAACUCUGACCCAGCCAUGCCGCGUGCAGGAAGACGGCCCUAUGGGUUGUAAACUGCUUUUAAUAGGGAUUAAAGUCGACUACGUGUAGUUGUUUGCAAGUACCUAUAGAAUAAGCAUCGGCUAACUCCGUGCCAGCAGCCGCGGUAAUACGGAGGAUGCAAGCGUUAUCCGGAUUCAUUGGGUUUAAAGGGUGCGCAGGCGGAUUGGUAAGUCAGGGGUGAAAUCCCACAGCUCAACUGUGGAACUGCCUUUGAUACUGUCAGUCUAGAGUAUAGUUGAAGUUGGCGGAAUGUGUCAUGUAGCGGUGAAAUGCUUAGAUAUGACACAGAACACCGAUCGCGAAGGCAGCUAGCUAAGCUAUAACUGACGCUCAUGCACGAAAGCGUGGGGAUCAAACAGGAUUAGAUACCCUGGUAGUCCACGCUGUAAACGAUGAUAACUUGUUGUUGGGCACAUAGUGCUCAGUGGCUAAGCGAAAGCGAUAAGUUAUCCACCUGGGGAGUACGAUCGCAAGGUUGAAAC